GGAGAAGAAGAAGAAGAAGAAAUUAUGGAGAAACUGAAACUGUAAGGAAUUAUUAUAAAUCAAUCAAAUGCCAAGAUCUUCUUCAAUCAACAUACAAUUCGUUCUCUCUGUCUCUCUCCAGACAUUAAAAUCUAAAAAUUUUUAUUUUCUGAAUUAUGAAUUAAAUAUAAUAAAAUAAAUGGAAUUGUUCUUUCUUGACUUCCAGGCUUCUUCCUUUCUCUUCUGUUCUGCUUUCUGUUUCUCUCUUUCUCUCACAUUUUCCAAUU
rnacentral:misc_RNA from 1 species